rnacentral:rRNA from 1 species
CCUACGGGUGGCAGCAGUGAGGAAUAUUGGUCAAUGGGCGGAAGCCUGAACCAGCCAAGUCGCGUGAGGGAUUAAGGCCCUAUGGGUCGUAAACCUCUUUUGUCAGGGAGCAAGGUCGUCCACGUGUGGGCGUAUGGAGAGUACCUGAAGAAAAAGCAUCGGCUAACUCCGUGCCAGCAGCCGCGGUAAUACGGAGGAUGCGAGCGUUAUCCGGAUUUAUUGGGUUUAAAGGGUGCGUAGGCGGGACCUUAAGUCAGCGGUAAAAUUGCGGUGCUCAACGCCGUAGAGCCGUUGAAACUGUGUCCCUUGAGUGCGCGAAGGGUAGGCGGAAUGCGUGGUGUAGCGGUGAAAUGCAUAGAUAUCACGCAGAACUCCGAUCGCGAAGGCAGCCUACCGGCGCGCAACUGACGCUCAUGCACGAAAGCGUGGGUAUCGAACAGGAUUAGAUACCCCGGUAGUC